AACCCUUUUGAGACCGGUGGGAAGGCCACGUAGCAGUUUCUCAAGAUUCCAGAUGUCUCUGGACCCGUCUCCUUGGAUCUCUUGUAUGUAUUUGUUUCUCUCUCAUCUUCUCACUCUCAUGCAACCAAUAUUCUUUCAUUGAUUAACUAGUCUUGUCGUAGAAUUAGAAAGGGAAAAGGAUGCUGGGAAUAACCAAGGUGUUGAGCAGAAAGCACGGCGAAGCAGCCGUGUUCCGCUGCCUUGGGCGGCGGUGGAUGGUCGGCAAAGCGGCCAACCGCGCUGCUGUUCAUGGCUCUAAGCUUCCCGUGCCUAAUGCCAUCCCGGUGAAGGAGUUGGAAAUGGAGAUCCACAAAUCUAUAGAAGAAAAGGAAAGAAAAAGGAGGGAGAUAGAAAAUACAGUUGAUUCCAAGCUCAAAAACUGGCCAGUGCUCUUCUUUGAACAAAUGGUGUGCUCCAAGUAAAUAAUGUAUGUAUGAGAAUAUUUGACUUUUUUGUCUACAAAUAAUCAUCAUUACCUUGUAUAAUUCGCACCAAUGUAAUGAAUUUCAAAUAAAAAAACUAUUUAUUUA